CUCUCUCAGUCUCUCUUCAGAAAAGAAAAAAACUCUCUCGACCUCUCCCAACUCUCUCGAUCUCUCUCGACCUCUCCCAACUCUCUCAAUCUCUCUCGACCCAUCUGCUCCGAUCCCAUCUUCUCUCUCGGCCGAGAGCCUGCGAGGGGUUUCUGAGCUUCAUUGUUGUUCUGGGUUUAUGAGUCUCAUUGGGGCAUCACUCACCCCUAAGAUGGUUGAGGCUUUGGUCUGCAUGAGUGACUGGCUAAAGGGAGGAGGCUUUGAUGCAUACAAGGAGCCCACCAAAGAUGAGAUGGAGCUGUACGCUGUGUUGGAAAAACUUGAAAUUGAUCCAGACGAAGGGAAUUCUGAUGAUGAAGAUUGAAGAAUGGAGGCCGAAGCAAUUUUCCGGCAUGUAAUGUUUUAGACUUUCAGUUUGUUAUUUCCUGUUUGGUUUUAUGUAUGAAACUAUGAACUAUGAAGUUUGAUGGUGUGUAUCGUGUUGAACUGCACUUUGCCUUGUUGGUUUUAAUUUCAGCAGUUUGAAGUUUGAACUUUGCAGAAUUGAUGUUUUCAUG